rnacentral:tRNA from 8 species
GCCCGGUUAGCUCAAUGGGAGAGCGGCGCGUUUACACCGCGUAUACGGGGGUUCGAUUCCCUCACUGGGUAC